AUAAUCAAUAUUCGCAAAACCCAGAAUUACUUAAACCCUUAUUCUCUAUUCGUUCUCCACCGCGGCCGAUUCGUGUUGCGAUACAGUGUAAGCACGACGAAGGUUCAUCGAACUUUCCGAUUAUGAGCGUUGUUUAUCUCAGAUUAAUGUUAUUUUCAGUAAAAUCCCAAAAUCGUUGAAUCAGAGCAAAAUCACGCAGGAGAAAAAUUGGAGCUAAAUUACGCUGGAUAGAAAUCGGAGCAUGUUGAGUUUACACCGGAGUGAAUUACGAUGAAUCACCACACAAUUUUCGUUUCCACUUUGUUCUCUUCUUCUUCGGUUCUUUGGAACUGAAUGACGCUGAAGAUUUCAUCACUGUUUCUACUUCUCGAUAUUCCUACAUAAUUGCCAAACAUGCAAGUUUGUCGUAAGAUGUCACGAUCACUACAAAGAUUUCCUCAAGAUAUAAUCAUUGUAGUUGCCUCACAGUGCUGCAUUGUCUGCUCUAGAAUUUUUUGAUAGGAUUAAACUGAGGUUUGGCACAUCUCUCACUCUCUUCAUUCUCAAACAUAGAAAAUCCACACAAAGGUUCAAGUUAUUGAUAUCCAUCUAGUCUAAGAGCGUAUAGGUUGAUACAAAGACAUAUACUUGCAACUGUUUGUUUUGGAUAAAUAUGAUACUUUCAGUUUGGUAUCAAGUUUCGAAGCAUAAAUUCAGUGCUUGUAAGGCUACACAAGAUCAUUAUGUUCAAAUCUCCAAUAUCUUCAAGGCUUUCAUGUUUGUUGCAGGACAUAUCAAUACUGUCGAGAACUAAGUUGCUACCCCCGAAUAAAGUUUCCAAUAAAACAGGGAGAGGAUAGAGAAAGUUCACUCAAUCACUUAAAAUCGGAAGAUAGUAGUGAAAGAAGGAACCAAUUGUUGUGGAUCUUGUCGGAGCCAAGGGAAUGAUAUGGAUCUAUUAGUAAUUUGUUUGUAAUUCUAUUAUGAUGUAGGCUUGAUUGUGUCUAUAUCUAUUAGUAGAUUAUUUUGAUCUUUCAUUCUUUGUUUAGUAUAUUUCAAUGUUCUUUAAUUGCUAGUUACAUUCAUGAUUUAUUUACACUUUUUUGUAUAGUUUGUUAUAAUUUUUGCUGAUUUUAAUGCAUCAAUACUUAUGGAUUCAAUUAAAAAAA